rnacentral:lncRNA from 10 species
CUCCACCAGGCAGGAGGAUGGGGAAGCAGAUCUCUCCCACGGACUCUGCCUUCUGAAAGACACAGGGGCAGGAGGCCAGGAGGACCUCCUGCAGAGCCAGCCUGUGUGCCACCGGGUGUCCAACGGAUUGGCUAAUGGGCCCACUGCUGCUGGCGGAGGGCAAGUCCUUUUAACACAACAGGCUUUUAUUCUCUUAGAAACACUUAAUAGCAGGCCGGUGUUGCGAGGCCUGGAAACGGCGCUCCCCUGCUGAGCUCACGCAAGUCAAAAGCUUUCAGCCAAACCAAGGAAAUGCCCUGCUGAAUAAAUCAGUGCCCUUCUCCUCGCUUUUCUUCUUUGCAAGCCGCCGGGAAGAACUUCCACCUGCAGACUGGAGCACCCCAAGUCAGGAGGCCAAAUUGCGGGCCCAUCUCCAACCCAGUCCUGCCCACAUGUAACCCAGGAAACACUGCUGUCUCACCAGCACGCCUCACCACACUGGGAAAGUUCUCCCGCCCAGUCCUGUAGCCAUCCCUCCCUGCACGCAGAAACGGGAGGUGCACCCAGGAAGCCCUGAGGCCUGGGAGACCCAUCUCCAUGGAGCACCCCACGAGGCAAGCACAGCACUCAGGCUCACCUGGGGCUGUGCCCCCUGACAGGUCAUGAGGGCCCUGAGCUCAGCACUGCUGCUGCCCCUCGUGGGGAACGCUGCUGACUGCAUGGAUCGUUGUGAAGAUGAAGCGAGAUCAUGGACAUCAAUCACUAAGCACAAUUUCCUGCACACAAUACAUCAGAUGUUGCAAGGAGCUUAUUUAAAGAAAUGGAAGUUUAUCGUCAUGUCAAUGCUGUAUCUUUGAAGUUUUUGUGUGUGUGUGUUUUUUUUUUUUAAAGCAAGUAAUUCCCAUAAAAAUGGAACUCAAGGAGAAGGGAUAUCUCUUAAAGAAAUAACAGAGAUGGGGUCUUGCGAUGUUGCCCAGGCUGGUCUCCAAUUUCUGGUCACUGAGGAGCAAAGAAGCAAAAUGGAACAGAGGUGGCCUACGGUCAGAGAGUUCAUGGAAAUUUGCUGGUCCUGCCUUGAACACUCAGACCUGAAGCACACAUUCCUUUGCAUGGCUGCAGUAAACAGCAGCAUCAAGAUCCAGGGUUGGAGACCACUCUCCAGUAUUCUCCCGGCCUCCUUCAAUAGUGAUGCAUCUUAUUCCUCAAAGCAGCCAUGACGGUUCAUUCUUCAGAUCAAUAACUGCCUGCAUAGCUAUGUGCAACUGUGUCUUAGGCUACUCCACAGACUACAGUUGUUCUCUUAAUGUCAAGAACACAUUCUUGCAUGAUUAUUGGAUUAAACAAUUGUCUUCUAUCCCCACUCCCUUUCCCUACUCAUAAGGAAAAUCAAUUUAAGGCAUAUCACAUGAAAUGCUUAAUCCUUUGUGCAAAGAUAAAGGAGGGUGCCCAGGACAGAUGCAAAGAGUGGAAGAAGUGGGGACCACUCUGGGUGCAGGUGCAGUGACAGCUGAGGCUUCACAUCCCACAUCUGUACCCAAAUAUACCAUUUCUGCCCACCCAAGCAAAACAUUUUCCCAGAGUUAUGCUUUAAGCCUUUACAGGGAGCUGGAGAAUAAGAAGGGACUACUGAUAACUUCAGGACAUUAUGUUUGAGUAAAUAUAAGAGAACCCAAGGUAUGAGUCAACAAAGAGGGACCCUGGGUGCCCCGCCUGGUUCUCUGAGGAUGGCAAAGACCAGCAAUCAGAAAAGUCUCCUUGGGGGCUGGGCUCAGUGACUCACUCCUAUAAUUCCUGCACUUUGGGAGGGUGAGGUGGGAGGAUUGCUUGAGGCCAGGAGUUCCAGACCACCCUGGGCAACAUAACAAGACCCCAUCUCUUUAAAAAAAAGUUUUUUAAAUUAGCCAGAUGUGGGCACCUGUAGUCCCAGCUACUUGGUGGGGGUGGGGGUGUGGGUGGGGGUGGGGGAGAGUGCUGAGUCAGGAGGGUCACUUGAGCCCAGAAGGUGUUCAGUGAGCCAUAAUCCUGCCACUGCACUCCAGCCUAGGCAACAGAACGAGACCCUAUGUCUAAAAAAAAAAAAAAAGAAAAGAAAAGAAAGAAAAAGAAAACGUUCCUCAGGAAACUGUUCUGUUCUGUCAGCCCAGCACGAAAUCCUGUGGCAGGAACAUCAUGGAAGUAGUUUUACACAGGAAGAUUUGGUUGCUAGCAUACCAGCCAUACCAUAAGGUUGCCAAGUGAGUGUAGCAAUUGUGUAAUUAUUGUGGAAAUGUAGUUCUCAACCACAUCUUUCUUAUGGUAAUUAGUGUUGCUGGUUGAGCAUAUUAUUAUUAUUAUUGUACACUUCAAGUAUUAUUCCCCCUAUAUUCUUAUAAGAUUCAAUAAGGCAGUAGUAUUGCUGUGCUCCAGUUGUUUUUGCCUAUAGAAUAGGAAUUAGUAUACUUUCCAUACACCUUAAUGAUAAUACCACUAUGAACUCUAGAAAUAAUUCCAGCAUAUAGUGUGCUUAGAAUAAACUGCAUUUACAAAAACAAUACACUACACUAACGGUCUUUUUAACACGAUGUCAUACCCUGGUAUGCACAAAAGCCAGUGGAUCAGAAAGGCUGUGUUUAGAAUGUACUCUACGGCCAUAUUUACAGAGGAUGCAAAAUACACACAUGGACUCCAUUUCACACCCCAACCAGGCCUGUUAAAUGAACAAUUAAGAAACAAGGCCCAGCACAGUGGCUCUCUCCAGUCAUCCCAACACUUUGGGAGUCCAAGGCAGCAAGAUCACUCAAAGGCAGGAGUUCAAGACCAGCCUGGGCAACAUAGCAAGACUCCAUUUCUACAAAAAGAAAUUGUUAAAAAUUAGCCAGGAAUGGUGGUGUGCAUCUGAGGUCCCAGCUACUUGGGAGGCUGAGGUGGGAGGAUCACUUGAGCUGAGGAGUUCGACGCUGCAGUGAGCUAUGAUUCUGCCACCGCACUCCAGCCUGCGUGACAGAGUGAGACCUCAUCUCUUAAAGAAAAAAAAAAUCACACAAAAUAAAGCCCUGGAAAAACUAAAAACUUAAGAUUUUUAAGGGGAUUAUUU